GACGAACGCUGGCGGCGUGCCUAAUACAUGCAAGUCGAGCGAUGAUUAAAGAUAGCUUGCUAUUUUUAUGAAGAGCGGCGAACGGGUGAGUAACGCGUGGGAAAUCUGCCGAGUAGCGGGGGACAACGUUUGGAAACGAACGCUAAUACCGCAUAACAAUGAGAAUCGCAUGAUUCUAUUUGAAAGAAGCAAUUGCUUCACUACUUGAUGAUCCCGGGUUUUAUUAGUUAGUUGGUAGUGUAAAGGACUACCAAGGCGAUGAUACAUAGCCGACCUGAGAGGGUGAUCGGCCACACUGGGACUGAGACCCGGCCCAGACUCCUACGGGAGGCAGCAGUAGGGAAUCUUCGGCAAUGGGGGCAACCCUGACCGAGCAACGCCGCGUGAGUGAAGAAGGUUUUCGGAUCGUAAAACUCUGUUGUUAGAGAAGAACGUUAAGUAGAGUGGAAAAUUACUUAAGUGACGGUAUCUAACCAGAAAGGGACGGCUAACUACGUGCCAGCAGCCGCCGUAA
rnacentral:rRNA from 1 species